rnacentral:rRNA from 1 species
UACGGGGGGAGCAAGCGUUGUUCGGAUUUACUGGGCGUAAAGAGCGUGUAGGCGGCCAGAUAGGUCCGUUGUGAAAACUCGAGGCUCAACCUCGAGACGCCGAUGGAAACCAUUUGGCUAGAGUCCGGAAGAGGAGAGUGGAAUUCCUGGUGUAGCGGUGAAAUGCGUAGAUAUCCGGAGGAACACCAGUGGCGAAAGCGGCCACCUGGACUGCACCUGACGCUGAAACGCGAAAGCUAGGGGAGCGAACGGG